rnacentral:rRNA from 1 species
UACGUAGGGUGCGAGCGUUGUCCGGAUUUAUUGGGCGUAAAGAGCUCGUAGGCGGCUCAGUAAGUCGGGUGUGAAAACUCCAGGCUCAACCUGGAGACGCCACCCGAUACUGCUGUGGCUAGAGUCCGGUAGGGGAGCAUGGAAUUCCUGGUGUAGCGGUGAAAUGCGCAGAUAUCGGGAGGAACACCAAUGGCGAAGGCAGCUCGCUGGGACGUUACUGACGCUGAGACGCGAAAGCGUGGGGAGCAAACAGG